rnacentral:lncRNA from 12 species
GAGCCCGACACCGGGGAGCCCCCGGCGGAGGCCCGUCCGCCCGGAGCCCCGCUCGCGGAGCCGCCCUGGGUUUGUCGGCCGCGGGGCGAGGACCGGCGGGCUGGGGCGGCGGGGAGGGGGCCCUCUGUCUCCCCCGUUUCUCUAAAAUGGCGCUAACGUGGGCAGGGACCCGCCGGGGGUGUCGUCAAAUUGAUCUCCGAGUACGAAGCAGCCUGCGGCUCCGGCUCCGCGCGCCGCGGGGCCCGGUCAUCCAUCGGCCGCGGGGCAGUGCCCGGGCCUGCGAGGGCGAGCUCUAACCAUAGGUAUUUCACACUUUGAGUUGAUCUGAGCUGCUUCUAAAGUGACAGAUCUCUGGGGGUGGUUCUUGAGUUUGAGUGAUCACCUGGAGCCAAGGAGGACUACCAAAUGUGAUGAACUGAGCCAGCUCCUGGGGUGACUGAUCCUCACCUCAGUCAGAUUUGCAUGGGGACCAGCCUGCUGGAUCAAGUGAGUUCUCAGGGAAGCGUGACCUCUGCUUUAUAUUUCACAUGUGAGUAAUGAGUUCUACCAAUGAAAUGCCCCCACACGGAGUGUUCUUCCCUGCAAGUGAUUGAAAACAUACCUACUCAUGAGCGUUGUAUAGUUUGUAAAACCAUACAUAACAUGAACUAACUAGGAAUAUGUUCUUGCGCCAGGCUGGAAUAUUCUCAAGCAUCAAGAGUUACAGAGGUUCUGAACCUCAAGGCAGGCAUCCAGCCAUCUAAGAUGUACAGAUGUACAGUUACCUUUGUGUGGGAAU